GACGAACGCUGGCGGCGUGCUUAACACAUGCAAGUCGAACGGAAAGGCCCUGCUUUUGUGGGGUGCUCGAGUGGCGAACGGGUGAGUAACACGUGAGUAACCUGCCCUUGACUUUGGGAUAACUUCAGGAAACUGGGGCUAAUACCGGAUAGGAGCUCCUGCUGCAUGGUGGGGGUUGGAAAGUUUCGGCGGUUGGGGAUGGACUCGCGGCUUAUCAGCUUGUUGGUGGGGUAGUGGCUUACCAAGGCUUUGACGGGUAGCCGGCCUGAGAGGGUGACCGGCCACAUUGGGACUGAGAUACGGCCCAGACUCCUACGGGAGGCAGCAGUGGGGAAUAUUGCACAAUGGGCGGAAGCCUGAUGCAGCAACGCCGCGUGCGGGGUGACGGCCUUCGGGUUGUAAACCGCUUUCGCCUGUGACGAAGCGUGAGUGACGGUAAUGGGUAAAGAAGCACCGGCUAACUACGUGCCAGCAGCCGCGGUGAUACGUAGGGUGCGAGCGUUGUCCGGAUUUAUUGGGCGUAAAGGGCUCGUAGGUGGUUGAUCGCGUCGGAAGUGUAAUCUUGGGGCUUAACCCUGAGCGUGCUUUCGAUACGGGUUGACUUGAGGAAGGUAGGGGAGAAUGGAAUUCCUGGUGGAGCGGUGGAAUGCGCAGAUAUCAGAGGAACACCCAGUGGCGAAGGCGGUUCUCUGGGCCUUUCCUGACGCUGAGGAGCGAAAGCGUGGGGAGCGAACAGGCUUAGAUACCCUGGUAGUCCACGCUGUAAACGGUGGGUACUAGGUGUGGGGUCCAUUCCACGGGUUCCGUGCCGUAGCUAACGCUUUAAGUACCCCGCCUGGGGAGUACGGCCGCAAGGCUAAAACUCAAAGGAAUUGACGGGGCCCCGCACAAGCGGCGGAGCAUGCGGAUUAAUUCGAUGCAACGCGUAGAACCUUACCUGGGUUUGACAUGGAUCGGGAGUGCUCAGAGAUGGGUGUGCCUCUUUUGGGGUCGGUUCACAGGUGGUGCAUGGCUGUCGUCAGCUCGUGUCGUGAGAUGUUGGGUUAAGUCCCGCAACGAGCGCAACCCUUGUUCACUGUUGCCAGCACGUUAUGGUGGGGACUCAGUGGAGACCGCCGGGGUCAACUCGGAGGAAGGUGGGGAUGACGUCAAGUCAUCAUGCCCCUUAUGUCCAGGGCUUCACGCAUGCUACAAUGGCUGGUACAGAGAGUGGCGAGCCUGUGAGGGUGAGCGAAUCUCGGAAAGCCGGUCUCAGUUCGGAUUGGGGUCUGCAACUCGACCUCAUGAAGUCGGAGUCGCUAGUAAUCGCAGAUCAGCAACGCUGCGGUGAAUACGUUCCCGGG
rnacentral:rRNA from 1 species